AGGGUUUGAUUAUGGCUCAGGAUGAACGCUGGCGGCAUGCCUAAUACAUGCAAGUCGAACGGACUACACCAUGAACUUGAAGAGCUUGCUCGGAUUGGAAUUGGAUUCUGUAGUCAGUGGCGGACGGGUGAGUAACACGUGGGUUACCUGCCACACAGUAUGGAAUAACUAUUGGAAACGAUAGCUAAUACCGUAUAUGACCUUCGGGUUGAAAGGAGCGUUUGCUUCGCUGUGUGAUGGGCCUGCGGCGCAUUAGCUAGUUGGUACGGUAAAGGCGUACCAAGGCGACGAUGCGUAGCCGGAGUGAGAGCUCGAUCGGCCACAUUGGGACUGAGACACGGCCCAAACUUCUACGGGAGGCAGCAGUAGGGAAUUUUCCGCAAUGGACGAAAGUCUGACGGAGCAAUGCCGCGUGAGUGAUGAAGGUUUUCGAAUCGUAAAGCUCUGUUGUAAGGGAAGAAUAGCAAGAAUAGGAAAUGAUUCUUGUCUGACGGUACCUUACCAGAAAGCCACGGCUAACUACGUGCCAGCAGCCGCGGUAAU
rnacentral:rRNA from 1 species